rnacentral:rRNA from 1 species
CACUAGCAUCCCGAGUGCAGUCGGUUUUAUUGGGCUUAAAGCGUCCGUAGCCGGUUUAAUGGGUUCCUAGUGAAAUCCUGCGGCUUAACCGUAGGGCUUGCUGGGAAAACUAUUAGACUUGAGGACGGGAGAGGUUAGAGGUACUUUUGGGGUAGGGGUGAAAUCCUAUAAUCCUAAAAGGACCAACAGUGGCGAAGGCGUCUAACAUGAACGUGCCUGACGGUGAGGGACGAAAGCCAGGGUCGCGAAACGGAUUAGAUACCCCCGUA